rnacentral:rRNA from 1 species
AGUGAACGCUGGCGGUAGGCCUAACACAUGCAAGUCGAACGGCAGCACAGUAAGAGCUUGCUCUUACGGGUGGCGAGUGGCGGACGAGUGAGGAAUACAUCGGAAUCUACUUUUUCGUGGGGGAUAACGUAGGGAAACUUACGCUAAUACCGCAUACGACCUACGGGUGAAAGCAGGGGAUCUUCGGACCUUGCGCGAUUGAAUGAGCCGAUGUCGGAUUAGCUAGUUGGCGGGGUAAAGGCCCACCAAGGCGACGAUCCGUAGCUGGUCUGAGAGGAUGAUCAGGCACACUUGAACUUAGACACGGUCCAGACUCCUACGGGAGGCAGCAGUGGGGAAUAUUGGACAAUGGGCGCAAGCCUGAUCCAGCCAUACCGCGUGGGUGAAGAAGGCCUUCGGGUUGUAAAGCCCUUUUGUUGGGAAAGAAAAGCAGCAGGUUAAUACCCCGCUGUUCUGACGGUACCCAAAGAAUAAGCACCGGCUAACUUCGUG